UUUUUUAAAAUUUUGUAUAAAAAUAAUUAUUUAUUAUAUUAUACAUAUUUUUUGUUGUAAAAAGGUAUAUUUCACUUAAAAUUUAUCUAAAAAGACAAAAUAAAUCAUCUAUUUUUAAAUACUAAAUAUACUUAUAUUAUGAUUAUUUUAAUUUUCCAAAAAAUAAUUUUUAAUAUUUUUAAAUUUUAUAUAUCUAAAAAGUCAAUUUUUUAAAUCAAUAUAAAAAAU
rnacentral:tRNA from 1 species